GUAUUUAAUUGCGUUAAACGCGACAUACAUUCCAUGAGACUUUAUUGUAGUGUGUGUGUAAAGACGUAGAACCACAGCAGGAGGGCAGAGCCCACCCACGCCAUAGAACUACAGAGGGUGCACAGGUGUGAGUGGAUGUGUAAACAGAGCGUGCACAUGCCCCAUUACAGGGACCAGCAACAACUCUUGUUGACAGUUCGGUAAUGAUCCUUCCGCAGGUUCACCUACGGAAA
rnacentral:misc_RNA from 1 species